rnacentral:rRNA from 1 species
CGGUGGAGCAUGUGUUUAAUUCGAAGCAACGCGAAGUAACCUUACCAGGUCUUGACAUCCCGAUGCUAUUUCUAGAGAUAGAAAGUUACUUCGGUACAUCGGUGACAGGUGGUGCAUGGUUGUCGUCAGCUCGUGUCGUGAGAUGUUGGGUUAAGUCCCGCAACGAGCGCAACCCCUAUUGUUAGUUGCCAUCAUUCAGUUGGGCACUCUAGCGAGACUGCCGGUAAUAAACCGGAGGAAGUGGGAUGACGUCAAAUCAUCAUGCCCCUUAUGACCUGGGCUACACACGUGCUACAAUGGUUGGUACAACGAGUUGCGAGUCGGUGACGGCGAGCUAAUCUCUUAAAGCCAAUCUCAGUUCGGAUUGUAGGCUGCAACUCGCCUACAUGAAGUCGGAAUCGCUAGUAAUCGCGGAUCAGCACGCCGCGGUGAAUACGUUCCCGGGCCUU